rnacentral:rRNA from 1 species
GACGAACGCUGGCGGCGUGCUUAACACAUGCAAGUCGAACGGUAAGGCCCUUCGGGGUACACGAGUGGCGAACGGGUGAGUAACACGUGGGUGAUCUGCCCUGCACUUCGGGAUAAGCCUGGGAAAAUGGGUCUAAUACCGGAUAGGACUCCUGGCUUCCUGGUGGGGGGUGGAAAGCUUUUGCGGGGUGGGAUGGGCCCGCGGCCUAUCAGCUGGUUGGUGGGGUAAUGGCCUACCAAGGCGACGACGGGUAGCCGGCCUGAGAGGGUGACCGGUCAAACUGGGACUGAGAUACGGCCCAGACUCCUACGGGAGGCAGCAGUGGGGAAUAUUGCACAAUGGGCGCAAGCCUGAUGCAGCGACGCCGCGUGAGGGAUGACGGCCUUCGGGUUGUAAGCCUCUUUCAGCUAUGACGAAGCGCAAGUGACGGUAGUAGCAGAAGAAGGACCGGCCAACUACGUGCCAGCAGCCGCCGUAA